rnacentral:rRNA from 1 species
UGAGCGGAGAUUAUGGAGCUUGCUUUAUAUAACUUAGCAGCGAACGGGUGAGUAACACGUAGAUAAUCUAUCCUAUACUGGGGGAUAGCCCGAUGAAAGUUGGAUUAAUACCGCAUAUAGCUAUAUAGUUGCAUGAUUAUGUAGUGAAAGAUUUAUUGGUAUAGGAGGAGUCUGCGGCACAUUAGCUAGUAGGUGAGGUAAAGGCUUACCUAGGCGACGAUGUGUAGCCGGUCUGAGAGGAUGAACGGCCACAAUGGAACUGAGACACGGUCCAUACUCCUACGGGAGGCAGCAGUGGGGAAUAUUGCACAAUGGGGGAAACCCUGAUGCAGCAACGCCGCGUGAGUGAAGAAGGUUUUCGGAUUGUAAAGCUCUGUUAGCAGGGAAGAGGAAGGACGGUACCUGCAGAGGAAGCCACGGCUAACUACGUGCCAGCAGCCGCGGUAAUACGUAGGUGGCAAGCGUUGUUCGGAAUAACUGGGCGUAAAGGAUGCGUAGGCGGUUAAACAAGUUAUAUGUUAAAUAUAUAGGCUUAACCUGUAGAAAGCAUAUAAAACUGUUUAACUAGAGUGCAGGAGAGGUAAGUGGAAUUCCUAGUGUAGCGGUGAAAUGCGUAGAGAUUAGGAAGAACACCAGUGGCGAAGGCGACUUACUGGACUGUAACUGACGCUGAGGCAUGAGAGCAUGGGGAGCAAACAGGAUUAGAUACCCUGGUAGU